CAACCUCACGAGGGGACAGUGGACGGUGAACACAUGUCGUCAUCGGAACGUGGUCUGCUUUCGAUCAGAUGGAAGCAGAACCAAGCCCCCGGCCCUGGCAACGGGGUGUUCGGAAUCCCGUGAAUGGUGACAUCCGAUUUGGGAAGAGGGAGAACAGGGUUCCGAAAGGCCCUCUGCUUCCCCACACCCUCUGCACGGUUGUGUCCCUCUCCCACCUGCUUGGGGCGGAGCCAGCGGCCACACCCCUACCUGUGCCCGGCUCCUACCUGUGCCCGGCUCCCCUUCCUGCUCAGCCCUUCAGGGUGUGGUCCUGCCGCAGGCCCUACAUUCACCUUGUUCAGCCCCGAGGAUCAAGGCCGGCCCAGGAGAGCACGGACGAGGGCCCGGGGGCCUGCGAAGCCCAGCGGAAAAUGCUUACCAGCCGUUGAGGAAAACGACGAAACAACUCAGAUCCGUGAUGGCUCCAUGCUGGUGGAGUAACAGGCCGUGUGCUGGUGCUGGCCUCGGCAAGGAAGAAAGCACA